rnacentral:tRNA from 1 species
GUUGGGGUAGUGUAAGAAGCACGGUUGUUUUUCGUACAGCAGGUGAUCUCGUUAGAUUCUCUAAUG